CAGCGACUAUAAAUUGCCAGGUGAAGUC
rnacentral:sRNA from 1 species